rnacentral:lncRNA from 1 species
GACCAGUCAAUGUUUAUCUCCCCUCCUCUCUCUCAUCUCUCUCCCUCGACAUUUCCUUCCCCCUUCCGUUCGAGCGAACCAGAAGCGGAGGAAGACCAGAAGCUGCAGCUCCGUCGCCGCGACCGCCGCCCGCUCGCCGCUCGUCCCGCCGCCGCACCGCCGCACCGCCGCCCGCGCGCUCGCCGCCGUUCCGCCGUCCGCGCACGCCCAGGCCGCGCGAACCAGCCGCUGUUCGCCUCUGUUCCGCACCGACCAGCCACCGUCCGGCCACCUCCGGCCACCGCCUAGCCCCGCCGGACCUCCCCCGCGACCCCCUCGCCCUCCGCCGGCUUCCCCUUGCCGCCCUAGCCGCC